UAAAAGUUGAGAGAAAGCUGUCUUCGAAAAUAAAUAAAUAAACAAAAAGGUGUAGCAGCCACUGGCAGUGUAUAUAUGUACCUGGAAGGCGUCCCUCACUAGUCACUACAGUUCCCAUAACCCAACCAAAGCAAGCGAAGCUCCUCUGAAAGUAAAUGGCAGGCCAGGGAGGAGAUGCAGCGAAGCCAAAACAAGACCAAGAAGAAAAACCAAGAGACGACAAGCUCCUCUCUUCUUAUUUAGGCCUGAGUUUCUCUCUUUUUUUAGCGAUUCUGCCUCCAAACUCCAUUUCCUUAAUACCAAACCUCCAGACCCAGAUCAGAAACCUCUCAAUACGCCUUUUACAAGCAGAAGAACAGCUAAAACAAAUGAAGUCAAGGAGAAAAGAGGACUCAAAAGCAAAUGCAAGGGUUGUAGAGAUCUUUGCUAGCCACAGGAAUGCCUGGCAAGCUGAAGAGAAGAGGUUGCUUCAACAGAUCGACUUUGCAAGUGAAGAAGUGUCCUCAUUAAGAGCUAAAGUUGAAGACUUUGAGAGAGAGAAGGAAGAGUGGCAAGGAAAGAUUCAAGAUUUGGAGAGAGAGGUUGGUGAGAGAGAGGAAAUGAUUGGGUUUAUGUCACGAAAUGCUGUUGCUGGUGGUAGUGAGUUUGUGGGUGGUGAGGAGGAAUCUGGUAGGUGUGGGAGUGGGGAAUGUUAUGGCGGGGAGGAAGAGGAUGAGGAGAAUGGCAGUUUUGUUUAUGGUCAACAGUAUUAUCAGCAUUUAUUGCAUCAGCAGCAGCAGCAAGGGAGUGAUGGAGGUUUCAGUUCUGAUUUAUUAGCUUCUGCGUCUAAGUUUUGGAGCGAGACAGCUAGUACUCUCUGGCAGGAUGUACAAUAUGAUUCCCACGAAUCACUCUAUCACAUGAAACAUUUUGUAGCAAGAAGAGAGUCCCCGUGGAAGGUAGAUGGUGAUUCAACAGGUGUGUCCUCUAAGUUAAAAUUACUCGAAGAGGAACUUCUGAAUUUGGAAAAAGCUGGAAAAACAGAUAUAUCAAAGGCUCCAUCACUAAUGAGGAAGCAGUCAAAGAGAUAUCAAGCUCUGGCAGGAAAGAUUGACGAUCUUUGCAGAAGAAUGCAAGCUAGUGAUCCAUGUGAACCUACACUCGGUCCAGAGUUUCGAACACAGAGGCAGACAGAGUUUUUGCUUGAAGCAUUUCGGCUCAAGGAACGGGCAUCUGAAACUGGACAGAAGCUGUUGGCAUUACAAAAUGAGAUCAGUAAGAGCUACUCUGGGGACGAGGUGGGGAGCCAGGCCAAGCUCACCACGAGACGUUCCUUCGAGGCCAUAAGGAACAAUUUAAAAGAAGUUCAGAGAAACUUGGAAAUAUGGUUGGCCAGAAUUAUUGGAGAUCUUAAAGGGAUUCUGGCCAGAGAUGGUGCCUCAUGUCAACGUGAAUAUUAUAUUUCUAGGAACUAUAUGUUGGUAUGAAGUGGUCCAUUCAUAGAGAAGGAAAGAAAGUAGCUGUUCAUGGACACUGCAAAGGACCCCAACAAUGGUCGAUUUACAGCUCCGUCAAAACAGGCCAAUCGCUAAGCAGCGCUGACUCUAGAUUUGCCUAUUUUCUGUCCGUUGCUUUCAAUGAUAGCGACAGCUACCUACACAUGGAGGAAGUAUAAAUGCUAUUUAAUUCUGGAGUACAAUUUUGGGUGGGAAGUCCCCCAUCACACCGUUUGAUUCAUAUCCAUGGAUCCAUGUGCAUACAGAGGUUACACAGGGCGGCAAGAAACACAUAGAAACUCUGUUUCGUGUGAUGUUAACUAUGUUAGAUCAUAUUACAUUUUUGACUUGCAAAUGCAAAUCCAGCAGUUUUGCUCAA